UCCAGUUUUUACUUCCGGCACCCGCCCAAGGAAUCGGCCAGACCUGGUUGUGAUAAAGCUGCAAAUGGACGCGUCUGCUAUAUUUUAUUGCCACUGAAACAAACAUUUGUGGAGAGUCUACUAUGUACUAGGCGUGCGCCGUGGAUAAAGCAGGGGAUGAGAUCCAGGGUCGAGGAUGGGGGCUGGAGAUCAACUGGAAAGAAACAACUAGACAAUAAUUUAAUCACAAGUUUGGGCUCCAGGCUCCUGUCAGUGAAAUUCUCCAGGCAAGAAUACUGAA